rnacentral:rRNA from 1 species
UACGGAGGGUGCAAGCGUUAUCCGGAUUCACUGGGUUUAAAGGGUGCGUAGGCGGGCAGGUAAGUCAGAGGUGAAAUCUCCGGGCUUAACCCGGAAACUGCCUUUGAUACUAUCUGUCUUGAAUAUGGUGGAGGUAAGCGGAAUAUGUCAUGUAGCGGUGAAAUGCUUAGAGACGACAUAGAACACCCAUUGCGAAGGCAGCUUACUACGCCUAUAUUGACGCUGAGGCACGAAAGCGUGGGGAUCAAACAGG